GUCCUUUAGAUUAGAAUUUAAGGUCUAACCUGCCCAUUGAGGAAUUUAACGGCCGCAGUAAAUUGACUGUGCAAAGGUAGCAUAAUCAUUAGUUUUUUAAUUGAAAGCUUGUAUGAAUGGUUGGACGAGAUAUAAUCUGUCUUUAUAUUACAAUUAGAAUUUAAUUUUUAAGUUAAAAAGCUUAAAUUUAUUUAAAAGACGAGAAGACCCUAUAGAUCUUUAUAAUUAAAAAUUUAUAAUUUUUUAGGAUUUGAAAUUUUUAUAUUUUUUUGUUUAUUUUAUUGGGGUAAUAGAAAGAUUUAAAAAAUUCUUUUUUUAUUUUAUAUAGAUUAAUAUUUAUUUGAUCCAUUAUUUAUGAUUAAAAGUUUAAGUUACCUUAGGGAUAACAGCGUAAUUUUUUUUGAGAGUUCAUAUCGAUAAAAAAGUUUGCGACCUCGAUGUUGGAUUAAAAUUUAUUUUAGGUGUAGAAGUUUAAAGUUUUAGUCUGUUCGACUAUUAAAAUUUU
rnacentral:rRNA from 1 species